AAACACCAUGCUCAGUUGGUAGAGCAUGGUGUUUGCAACGCCAGGGUUGUGGGUACGAUUCCCACGGGGUCCA
rnacentral:tRNA from 1 species